GUCUACAGUAGAGUGCAGUGAUGUGUUCGGCCUUCACAUUCACUCACUAGUGCUUCAUUGACUCACCCAGAGCAACUUCCAAUCGUGCAAGCUCCGUUCAAGUUCCAGGGAUGGAAUCCGAGUGAUCGCUAAGGCAAUUCAUAUAUUUUACCCACCUUAGGAUAACUGGUUUAGGAUUGGACAAACAAUCUCAGCUGCUUCAAUCAGACUCACUUCCUUUCAUUCAGAUGGAAGAUGGGAAAACACAAUGCUAUAGACUUUGGAAUAUUGUAUGGGCUCGUAAUCAGCGUACUGAAUUUCAAGCCAUUCCUUGGCCACUCAAUGGCCACUACUAAAUCACACAACCCACCCAACUGGAGAAUUAAAUCAAAUAUCUGGAGCAAUUUAAUGUGCAUGCAUUCGUGGCCACAAAAAUGAAGAUACAAAUAAGUAGGUGCUGGAUAUUAGACCUUCGUCAGACACAUAGACCAGUGGAACAGAAUAGAGAACCCAGAAAUUAGAUCACUCAUCUUCAACCAUCCAAUCUUCGACAAACCUGACAAAAAGCAAUGGGGAAAGGACUCCCUGUUCAAUAAAUGGUGCUGGGAGAAAUGGCUGGCCAUAUUGUGUCUAGAAUUUAUUCCUUCCAGUGGGUUCUUGGUCUCGCUGGCUUCAAGAAUGGAGCCGCAGACCUUUGCAGUGAGUGUUAC
rnacentral:lncRNA from 10 species